GCCUGGGUGGCUCAGUCGGUUAAGCGUCCGACUUCGGCUCAGGUCAUGAUCUUGCAGUUCGUGGGUUCGAGCCCCGCAUCAGGCU
rnacentral:tRNA from 1 species